GAUGAACGCUAGCUACAGGCUUAACACAUGCAAGUCGAGGGGCAGCAUGGUCUUAGCUUGCUAAGGCCGAUGGCGACCGGCGCACGGGUGAGUAACACGUAUCCAACCUGCCGUCUACUCUUGGACAGCCUUCUGAAAGGAAGAUUAAUACAAGAUGGCAUCAUGAGUCCGCAUGUUCACAUGAUUAAAGGUAUUCCGGUAGACGAUGGGGAUGCGUUCCAUUAGAUAGUAGGCGGGGUAACGGCCCACCUAGUCUUCGAUGGAUAGGGGUUCUGAGAGGAAGGUCCCCCACAUUGGAACUGAGACACGGUCCAAACUCCUACGGGAGGCAGCAGUGAGGAAUAUUGGUCAAUGGGCGAGAGCCUGAACCAGCCAAGUAGCGUGAAGGAUGACCGCCCUAUGGGUUGUAAACUUCUUUUAUAAAGGAAUAAAGUCGGGUAUGGAUACCCGUUUGCAUGUACUUUAUGAAUAAGGAUCGGCUAACUCCGUGCCAGCAGCCGCGGUAAUACGGAGGAUCCGAGCGUUAUCCGGAUUUAUUGGGUUUAAAGGGAGCGUAGAUGGAUGUUUAAGUCAGUUGUGAAAGUUUGCGGCUCAACCGUAAAAUUGCAGUUGAUACUGGAUAUCUUGAGUGCAGUUGAGGCAGGCGGAAUUCGUGGUGUAGCGGUGAAAUGCUUAGAUAUCACGAAGAACUCCGAUUGCGAAGGCAGCCUGCUAAGCUGCAACUGACAUUGAGGCUCGAAAGUGUGGGUAUCAAACAGGAUUAGAUACCCUGGUAGUCCACACGGUAAACGAUGAAUACUCGCUGUUUGCGAUAUACAGCAAGCGGCCAAGCGAAAGCGUUAAGUAUUCCACCUGGGGAGUACGCCGGCAACGGUGAAACUCAAAGGAAUUGACGGGGGCCCGCACAAGCGGAGGAACAUGUGGUUUAAUUCGAUGAUACGCGAGGAACCUUACCCGGGCUUAAAUUGCAGAUGAAUUACGGUGAAAGCCGUAAGCCGCAAGGCAUCUGUGAAGGUGCUGCAUGGUUGUCGUCAGCUCGUGCCGUGAGGUGUCGGCUUAAGUGCCAUAACGAGCGCAACCCUUGUUGUCAGUUACUAACAGGUUCCGCUGAGGACUCUGACAAGACUGCCAUCGUAAGAUGUGAGGAAGGUGGGGAUGACGUCAAAUCAGCACGGCCCUUACGUCCGGGGCUACACACGUGUUACAAUGGGGGGUACAGAGGGCCGCUACCACGCGAGUGGAUGCCAAUCCCCAAAACCUCUCUCAGUUCGGACUGGAGUCUGCAACCCGACUCCACGAAGCUGGAUUCGCUAGUAAUCGCGCAUCAGCCACGGCGCGGUGAAUACGUUCCCGGGCCUUGUACACACCGCCCGUCAAGCCAUGGGAGCCGGGGGUACCUGAAGUGCGUAACCGCGAGGAGCGCCCUAGGGUAAAACUGGUGACUGGGGCUAAG
rnacentral:rRNA from 1 species